rnacentral:rRNA from 1 species
UCGAAGAGGUUUUUUGCUUGCUCAUGACGAACGCUGGCGGCGUGCCUAAUACAUGCAAGUCGAGCGAAGUGGAGGAAGCUUGCUUCCAAAGCUUAGCGGCGAACGGGUGAGUAACACGUGGGCAACCUGCCUGACAGACUGGGAUAACUUGGGGAAACUCAAGCUAAUACCGGAUAGUAUCGCAAACUGCAUGGUUUGCGAUGGAAAGUCUGAACGACACUGUCAGAUGGGCCCGCGGCGCAUUAGCUAGUUGGUGGGGUAAUGGCCUACCAAGGCGACGAUGCGUAGCCGACCUGAGAGGGUGACCGGCCACACUGGGACUGAGACACGGCCCAGACUCCUACGGGAGGCAGCAGUAGGGAAUCUUCCACAAUGGGCGAAAGCCUGAUGGAGCAACGCCGCGUGAGUGAUGAAGGUUUUCGGAUCGUAAAACUCUGUUGUUAGGGAAGAACACCCGGGAGAGGAUCCCGGUUGACGGUACCUGACGAGAAGUCCC